GAUGAAGAACGUAGCGAAAUGCGAUAAGUAGUGUGAAUUGCAGAAUUCAGUGAAUCAUCGAAUCUUUGAACGCGCAUUGCGCCCCAUGGUAUUCCGUGGGGCAUGCCUGUUCGAGCGUCAUUUACCCCCUCAAGCUCCGCUUGGUAUUGGGCGUCUGUCCCGCUUCGCGCGCGGACUCGCCCCAAAGGUAUUGGCAGCGGUCGUGCCAGCUUCUCGCGCAGCACAUUGCGCUUCUCGAGGCACCGGUGGGCCCGCGUCCAUCAAGCUCACCCCCCCAGUUUGACCUCGGAUCAGGUAGGGAUACCCGCUGAACUUAAGCAUAUCAAUAAGCGGAGGA
rnacentral:misc_RNA from 1 species